GUGGGGAAUAUUGGGCAAUGGGGGAAACCCUGACCCAGCGACGCCGCGUGAGGGAAGAAGGCCUUAGGGUCGUAAACCUCUGUUGUGUGGGAAGAAGAGCGUGACGGUACCACACGAGGAAGUCCCGGCUAACUACGUGCCAGCAGCCGCGGUAAUACGUAGGGGACGAGCGUUGUCCGGAUUUACUGGGCGUAAAGGGCGCGUAGGCGGUCAUUUAAGUCAGCUGUGAAAUGGUUUGGCUUAACCGGAUCAUGCGGUUGAAACUGGAUGACUGGAGUGCUGGAGAGGCAAGUGGAAUUCCCAGUGUAGCGGUGAAAUGCGUAGAUAUUGGGAAGAACACCGGUGGCGAAGGCGACUUGCUGGCCAGCAACUGACGCUGAGGCGCGACAGCGUGGGGAGCAAACAGGAUUAGAAACCCCAGUAGUCC
rnacentral:rRNA from 1 species